GUUUCUAAUGCCUGUACUAGACAAUCUGUGGAUUAAAACAUGUAAAACUGCAGGGGGCAAGGGGUAGGCAGGGCACGCUGGAAAGACAACAGGAACAACAACAUAAAUUAAGAGGGGCUGAGGGAUAAUACUGGUAAGAGAGGAUGGGAUCCACCAGUAGUCAGGAGUAUCCCUACCUUUGCAUCUGAGUUUCAGUGAUGGUCAUACCAAACACACAUUGACCUGCUAAGACCUAACUAACAUGGGGUUAAGGAAAAGAUGUACAAGAUCACGGACAAAAUGUCAGAACUUGGAAGGCUGGGUCUAUAGAAGCACGUGGCAGA
rnacentral:lncRNA from 14 species